rnacentral:rRNA from 1 species
UACGUAGGGGGCUAGCGUUGUCCGGAAUCAUUGGGCGUAAAGCGCGUGUAGGCGGCUCGGUAAGUCUGCUGUGAAAGUCCAGGGCUCAACCCUGGGAUGCCGGUGGAUACUGUCGAGCUCGAGUCCGGAAGAGGCGAGUGGAAUUCCUGGUGUAGCGGUGAAAUGCGCAGAUAUCAGGAGGAACACCAAUGGCGAAGGCAGCUCGCUGGGACGU